AGAUUGAACGCUGGCGGCAGGCCUAACACAUGCAAGUCGAGCGGUAGAGAGGUGCUUGCACCUCUUGAGAGCGGCGGACGGGUGAGUAAAGCCUAGGAAUCUGCCUGGUAGUGGGGGAUAACGCUCGGAAACGGACGCUAAUACCGCAUACGUCCUACGGGAGAAAGCAGGGGACCUUCGGGCCUUGCGCUAUCAGAUGAGCCUAGGU
rnacentral:rRNA from 1 species